GGGGGGAAUUUGGGGCAUGGGGGGGAACCCUGACCCAGCGACGCCGCGUGAGGGAAGAAGGUCUUCGGAUUGUAAACCUUAAACAACAGGGACGAAGAAGAUGACGGUACCUGUUAGGAAGCCACGGCUAACUACGUGCCAGCAGCCGCGGUAAUACGUAGGUGGCAAGCGUUAUCCGGAUUUACUGGGUGUAAAGGGUGUGUAGGCGGAGAGGCAAGUCAGACGUGAAAACUACGGGCUCAACCCGUAACUUGCGUUUGAAACUGUUUCCCUUGAGUGUCGGAGAGGUAAAUGGAAUUCCCAGUGUAGCGGUGAAAUGCGUAGAUAUUGGGAGGAACACCGGUGGCGAAGGCGGUUUACUGGACGACAACUGACGCUGAGACACGAAAGUGUGGGGAGCAAACAGGAUUAGAUACCCUGGUAGUCCACACCGUAAACGAUGAAUGCUAGGUGUGGGGGCGCAAGCCUCCGUGCCGCAGCUAACGCAAUAAGCAUUCCACCUGGGGAGUACGGCCGCAAGGUUGAAACUCAAAGGAAUUGACGGGAGCCCGCACAAGCAGUGGAGUAUGUGGUUUAAUUCGACGCAACGCGAAGAACCUUACCAGGUCUUGACAUCCCGAGAAGUCGGCGUAAUGGCUGAUGUGCCCUUCGGGGAAUUCGGUGACAGGUGGUGCAUGGUUGUCGUCAGCUCGUGUCGUGAGAUGUUGGGUUAAGUCCCGCAACGAGCGCAACCCUUACGGUCAGUUGCUACGCAAGAGCACUCUGGCCGGACUGCCGUUGACAAAACGGAGGAAGGCGGGGAUGACGUCAAAUCAUCAUGCCCCUUAUGAUCUGGGCUACACACGUACUACAAUGGCGAAU
rnacentral:rRNA from 1 species